GCAGGACAUCCCGCGGCGCUCUGCUCCUCCGUCCUUUCCUGCUGCUACUCUUUCCAUCCGGGUCUCCGGGGUUCCGGCCCCAGCUCUCGCAGGGAUCGCUUGCCUAUCCCAUCUCUUGCGUUCUCGAGUGACAGCCGAGCUCUGCCACGGGUCCCCAGGGGCGGCGGUUUGAAGUACUUGUCCUAGAAGCUGUGUAUCACCAGAAUGAGACUUGUAAUUCUUGAUAAUUAUGACUUGGCUAGUGAAUGGGCAGCCAAAUACAUCUGUAAUCGAAUUAUCCAGUUCAAACCAGGACAGGACAGAUAUUUUACCCUGGGCUUGCCAACAGGAAGCACACCUUUGGGAUGCUAUAAAAAACUAAUAGAAUAUCACAAGAAUGGAGACCUUUCCUUCAAAUAUGUAAAGACCUUUAACAUGGAUGAAUAUGUAGGACUUCCCAGAAAUCAUCCUGAGAGCUACCAUUCAUAUAUGUGGAAUAACUUCUUUAAGCAUAUUGACAUAGAUCCUAAUAAUGCUCACAUCCUUGAUGGAAAUGCUUCAGACCUACAGGCAGAAUGUGAUGCAUUUGAAAGGAAAAUAGAAGAAGCUGGAGGAAUUGAUCUUUUUGUUGGAGGCAUUGGUCCAGAUGGUCACAUCGCUUUCAAUGAACCAGGAUCCAGUUUAGUAUCAAGAACAAGAUUAAAGACUCUAGCAAUGGAUACCAUUUUGGCAAAUGCUAAAUAUUUUGAUGGAGAUUUAUCAAAAGUGCCAACUAUGGCUCUAACAGUUGGUGUGGGGACGGUGAUGGAUGCUAGAGAAGUAAUGAUUCUCAUAACAGGUGCUCAUAAAGCAUUUGCACUGUACAAGGCAAUAGAAGAAGGAGUCAAUCAUAUGUGGACUGUUUCAGCUUUCCAGCAGCAUCCUCGAACUAUUUUUGUAUGUGAUGAAGAUGCUACUUUAGAAUUAAGAGUUAAAACUGUGAAAUACUUUAAAGCAAAAACAUAGAGAUGCGCUACCCAAUUGGAAUAUCAAAUGGACAUUGUAUGAGAGUCCUUAAUUAAGGUUUAAUGCAUGUGCACAAUAAACUUGUGGACCCACUGUACAGUAUGAAAGAAGAAAACUGAAGGAUUGAGGCGAAAUUCUCCUUGAAUGAACUGAACAACAUUUUUAUAGGUAGUGAACUAAAUUUCUUGCUAUGCAAUGUGCUAAAAUAAAACACAGAAUUUAGAGGAUUGUAACUUAAAGGUCUGGUAUCUAUACAUUGUUAAACAUUCCAUGUGAGAGAACUUCAGUCCAUUUUCCCACUAUUUAAAGCUUUGAAGAGAGCUUUCAAAACAAUUCAUUAAAAACAUAGACACUGCAAAUCAAAAAUUAAAGUCUGCCUAAUUUAGAAUAUAAUUUAAGAAAACAAGGAUUUUGUAAGUCAUUUAUCCUUCAUUCUUUGACUAUUGAAAUUUAUUUGAUUUUUUUUUUUCAAUACUCUACUGACCUGUCAGUUAAAAGUAGCUGCACAAUCCUUAAUUUGGGGAAAGCUGUGUUUACAUCUAUGUAUUUCACACAAGCUUUUGCACAUGGUUGCCUUAAAAGCAUUGUACUACAGUAGCAUUUGGGCAUUUCAAGUCCCAUUACAUUCUGCUGGUAAAAGAACCUAAUUUGAUAUGAGAAGACAGUGCCUAUACAGUUUCCUUCCUUUAGAAAAGCAUCUUUACAUGCAUGUGUUUUAUGCAGCUUCUGCAACAGCACUUUAAAAAGUGUGCUUUCAUCUACUUCUUCAGGUUCAUGCUUUUAGUUAAGUACUUCCUUUGGCAAUUGGGAUCUUUAUACCCAAGAAACAUUUUUUUAAAAAGAUUGUUAAACUGUAUCAAUGAUUAGUUUAAUUCAUAAUAAAUCAUUAUGGCUAAAAGGACAGACAUGUAUAAAAUGAAUUACAUAGAAUCUGUUUUGCAUUACAAUAGCAACUUGUAUCAUUUAUUAUUACUCUGUGAGCUCAAAUAUUAGGAUCAUUUUCUAACUUGAACUUAAAGCUUGUAAUGUGUAACCCUUUAUAAAUUUUACUUCCAGAAGAUGAUUGAAAAGAAAUAAAUAUGCUCUGGAUACAUUCCAAGUAUUAAAUCAUAAUUCUUAAUAGUCCUGGUGAAUUUGCAUUUAUUUUUCAGGUCUUUUACAUGAAUACACUGAGGACUAUUUGAGAUGAUUUGUUUCAGUCUUUUAUUUUUAAAUUGUUUACUCAACCUAUUAGAAACCCAUCUGGUAAGUAAAAUUGCUUCAGCUAGAAUGAAUUGUCUAUAUGAUAGAAAUACAUUACAACUUACAAAUAACUAGGAUCGUAAAAUAUAGGGAUAUAUGUUGAUACACAGGAGAGACACCAAUAGGAAUCGAAAACCAAGUAUUUUGUUUAAACCCCAGACAGGCUUAGAAAUCUAUUAAAGGGGGGCAGCUAGGUGGUGCAGUGGAUAAAGCACUGGCCCUGA